rnacentral:rRNA from 1 species
GUAGCUACGUUCGGAACUGAUAAGCGCUGAAAGCAUCUAAGCGCGAAGCAGGCCUCGAGAUGAGUUCUCACUAGACUUUUAAAGUCUCUGAAGGGCCGUUGAAGACUACAACGUUGAUAGGCAGGAUGUGGAAGUGGUGUGAGCCAUUAAGCUAACCUGUACUAAUUACCCGUGAGGCUUAACCAUACAACGCCAAACGCGUUU